rnacentral:rRNA from 1 species
UACGUAGGGGGCAAGCGUUGUCCGGAUUUAUUGGGCGUAAAGAGCGUGUAGGCGGCCAUGCAGGUCCGCUGUGAAAACUCGAGGCUCAGCCUCGAGAGGUCGGUGGAAACCGCAUGGCUAGAGUCCGGAAGAGGAGAGUGGAAUUCCGGUGUAGCGGUGAAAUGCGCAGAUAUCGGGAAGAACACCCGUGGCGAAGGCGGCUCUCUGGGACGGUACUGACGCUGAGACGCGAAAGCGUGGGGAGCGAACAGG